GGUGCUCUAGACUAAUUGGUUAGGUCAGUUCCAUGAAAUGGAGGAGAUGCGGGUUCAAAUCCCGCAGGUGCCC